UACGGAGGGUGCAAGCGUUAAUCGGAAUCACUGGGCGUAAAGCGUGCGUAGGCGGUUUCUUAAGUCUGUCGUGAAAGCCCUGGGCUCAACCUGGGAAUGGCGAUGGAUACUGGGGAGGCUAGAGUGUGAUAGAGGAUGGUGGAAUUCCCGGUGUAGUGGUGGAAUGCGUAGAUAUUGGGGGGGAAUACCAGUGGCGAAAGCGGCACCCUAGCGUUAGCCUGACGCUCAUGUGCGAAAGCGUGGGGAGCGAACGGG
rnacentral:rRNA from 1 species